rnacentral:rRNA from 1 species
AGAGUUAAACAGUACGUGAAAUUGUUGAAAGGGAAACGAUUGAAGCCAGUCGUACUGGCGGGAAAUCAACUUCUCGAGUGCUUGUCGUGGAUGACGUUGAGCUUCACGGCCUUCGUUGUUCACGUUAUGGUGCUUUUGAGGUGUACUUUUCCGUAAGUAGGUCAACAUCGAUUUUGAUCGUCAUAAAAUAAUCGGAGGAAUGUGGCUCUGAUCUCGGUCGGAGUGUUAUAGCCUUUGGUAGAUGUGACGAUUGGGAUCGAGGAUUGCAACGAAUACCCUUUGGGCUAUCCGUCUGACCUCUGAAAGUCGCUCGGGUGUUGAAAGCGUGCUUAUGACAUUCUAGUAAUUGGCGGUCAAAAGGUUAGAACGCGAUUACAUUCGUUAAGGAUGUUGACGUAAUGGCUUUAAACGACC